rnacentral:rRNA from 1 species
AGAGUUUGAUCCUGGCUCAGGAUGAACGCUAGCUACAGGCUUAACACAUGCAAGUCGAGGGGAAACGACAUCGAAAGCUUGCUUUUGAUGGGCGUCGACCGGCGCACGGGUGAGUAACGCGUAUCCAACCUGCCCAUCACUUGGGGAUAACCUUGCGAAAGUAAGACUAAUACCCAAUGACGUCUCUAGAAGACAUCUGAAGGAGAUUAAAGAUUUAUCGGUGAUGGAUGGGGAUGCGUCUGAUUAGCUUGUUGGCGGGGUAACGGCCACCAAGGCGACGAUCAGUAGGGGUUCUGAGAGGACGGUCCCCCACAUUGGAACUGGAGACACGGUCCAAACUCCUACGGGAGCA